rnacentral:lncRNA from 1 species
GGCCACUCUCAGAGACAGAAAGCUAGACUUUCUAGCAGCAGGAUCAAGGUGUGCGCGCCUUAUUUCCCUAACUCCCCAUCCAAAAUAAGGCAAGUGCAAAUGGUCAAGCACUUCCAACACCUGCUGAAAAUGUUUUUUUCUGUCUCCUGGCUGCUGCCGCCAGCCUUUUAUGUUAUUCUAAGGAUGCUUUUGAAGAGUCUACCUAACUCCUCCAGCGAUUUUCAUUGAGAUGCCCACAUAACCAGAAACAAACAAAUACUUUAACGAAUCAAAUAAUAAACCCUAAAUGUUAGGUCCAUUUUUUUGGACUCCUAGGACACGAUCUCUGCUUCUCCAACCUGGAAAUGUUCCAGAUGUUUUUGACUAUAGCUUUCACCAAGCAGGAGGUGCAGGGCUGAUCCACAGUGCACUUCCAAAGCACAUGACCCACCCCCCAAAAAAAGAAUCCUGGGAACUGCAGUUUCCCCCUCGCAGACCAAUUCCCCGCACCCUACAGUUCCCAGGAUUCUUUGGGGUCAAGAGACGUGUUUUGAAUGUGCAUUUGAUGUGCCUUUCAAUGUACGGUUCAGCUCUACCCAUAGUCCAGAUCCUCUGAGGGAUGCCUCGUUGGUGCAACCAGUGCGCAGGCUCACUGCGGCUGCUUUUCUUGCCUCUCUCCACAGAGUUCGAAGCCAAAGCUGCAGACCAGCUGCUCAGAGAUCCAAGAAAUCCGUCCCUGCACUCGCCUGGAGAUGCCGGACCACGCAGACACCUUUGUCCUCAAGAUGCUGAAGGUGAACACCUCCAUGGAUGUUGUAUUUGAGGCUGGAGAUGACCAGCAACUGCGUUCCUGGAUGUGUGAAAUUAAAGAGUGUCUCCAUCGAGGGUCAGAAGGCGCUGACGUUGAGCUGAUCUCGGACUCUCACUCGGAGGCUGUGACUGCAAGCCCCACAACCAGCAGCACGGACUCCCUGAACCAAGGUAUUUGGGGCUCAUCUGGGGCGAGGUUUGGGGUUGGAGGGGGAUCCUCUCCUAUGCCUUUCAAGAAAAAAAGUACCAAGAAACAUCUGGUUGAGCAGUUCAGGCUCCUGGACUCUGGGGAAUCAACAGAAGGGAGUUCUCCGAUAAUAACAAAGCUGUCUAUUUUUUGUUUUGUGUUGCUAAUUCUCUGGCUCUGCAAACUGUAAGCACUUGUGUGUGGUGCAACACGCUUUUACCAUAGCUGCCUGAGCUUUUCUGGGGGGAGAAAUUGUUUAAAAUGACAGCUGAGCCCUUCCCUCUCCCCUAGGGGCAAUGCCACCCAGCCUCCCAGACCAGAACGGCCAGAAGACUGACCACUACCUGACAUCCUUCCCCUGGUUCCAUGGCCCCAUUUCUCGAGUCAAAGCCGCUCAGCUGGUUCAGCACCAGGGCCUUGACGGACAUGGGGUUUUCCUCAUCCGACAGAGUGAAACCCGCAGGGGAGACUACGUCCUCACUUUCAACUUCCAAGGAAGAGCAAAGGUACAGCGUCUCUUGCUGAGGGGGCUCCCUCUGCCACCAGUCAGUACGUUAGCUGGCAGGCUUUCAUGGCCCCAAACUGGAGCACUGUUGAAAUCCCGCUUGGACUUCAUAUCUAAAUAGCUUUUUUUUUUAAUGUCCAGACUUGCGUCCAGACUUAAUGUCCAGACUUGCGAUAAGGCAGCCACAUUCAGGGGGGAUGUAUUCAAAGGAAUUAGAUAACUGGACCAAAAAUAUUCAAAGGCGCAGAGUUGGUUUUACUUAAUCUUUACCCAGGGGACAAUAUAAAUCUGAAUUUUAAGCCUCUUAUUGGCCAGCUUCUUGGAGGAUGGGGCAUUGACCACAUGGUUGAGAUGUCUGGCAUUUAGUGUUGAUGGAAAAAUUAAUCGCUAAACAAAAAAUAGCAAGAGGAAUGGAAUAAAAAGACAAUCUUUUGGUGGAUUGGUAUACUUUUAUUAUGUUCAGUGCAAGAGAGGAAAAUGCAAUUAUAAAAGAGAG